rnacentral:rRNA from 1 species
CAGCCGUAAACAAUGUGCGUUAGGUGUGUCGGUAACCACGUGUUACUGAUGCGCCGAAGAGAAAUCGUGAAACGCACCACCUGGGAAGUACGGUCGCAAGGCUGAAACUUAAAGGAAUUGGCGGGGGAGCACCACAACAGGUGGAGCCUGCGGUUUAAUUGGACUCAACGCCGGAAAGCUCACCGGAUAAGACAGCGGAAUGAUUGCCGGGCUGAAGACUCUGCAUGACUAGCUGAGAGGAGGUGCAUGGCGUAGACGUCU